rnacentral:rRNA from 1 species
AGUUAGGAAAUGACUGCUAAUACCGCAUAAGCGCACAGUGCUGCGAUGGCACAGUGUGAAAAACUCCGGUGGUAUGAGAUGGACCCGCGUCUGAUUAGGCUAGUUGGUGGGGUAACGGCCUACCAAGGCGACGAUCAGUAGCCGGCCUGAGAGGGUGAACGGCCACAUUGGGACUGAGACACGGCCCAAACUCCUACGGGAGGCAGCAUG